rnacentral:rRNA from 1 species
UGGGACUGAGACACGGCCCAAACUCCUACGGGAGGCAGCAGUGGGGAAUAUUGCACAAUGGGGGAAACCCUGAUGCAGCGACGCCGCGUGAGCGAUGAAGUAUUUCGGUAUGUAAAGCUCUAUCAGCAGGGAAGAAAAUGACGGUACCUGACUAAGAAGCCCCGGCUAACUACGUGCCAGCAGCCGCGGUAAUACGUAGGGGGCAAGCGUUAUCCGGAUUUACUGGGUGUAAAGGGAGCGUAGACGGCAUGGCAAGCCAGAUGUGAAAGCCCGGGGCUCAACCCCGGGACUGCAUUUGGAACUGUCAGGCUAGAGUGUCGGAGAGGAAAGCGGAAUUCCUAGUGUAGCGGUGAAAUGCGUAGAUAUUAGGAGG